AACGUAGGUGGCGAGCGUUAUCCGGAUUUACUGGGCGUAAAGGGUGUGCAGGCGGGCUGUUAAGUGGUGUAUGAAAUAUCCCGGCUCAACCGGGAAGGGUUAUGCCAGACUGGCAGUCUAGAGAGCGAGAGAGGGACGUGGAAUUCCGGGUGUAGUGGUGAAAUGCGUAGAGAUCCGGAGGAACACCAGUGGCGAAGGCGACACGCUGGGCCGUACCUGACACUGAUGCGCGACAGCAUGGGGAGCAAACAGG
rnacentral:rRNA from 1 species